UUCCAACCUUACUUGAGCCAUGGAUCUUUCGAAAAGAACCUCGCUGCCUUCACAAGGUAGGGGUAAGGUCUACGUACACACCACCCUCCCCAAACCCACUUUGUGGGAUUACCCUUUGUAUGUUGUUGCUUUUUCAACCUUUAAUUUGAAGUUCGAAUCACAACGCAGAUAUCAUGGUGUAUAUGGGAGCUUUCCCCUGCUUGUCGAACACUGUGUGGCUUUUCUUUUAUCUCUUCCUUUCUUUCUUCAUAUCUUCUUUGUUUUUUUUUUCCUUUCCAACCUUACUUGAGCCAAGGGUCUUUCGAAAAGAACCUCACUACCUUCACAAGGUAGGGGUAAGGUCUACGUACACACCACCCUCCCCAAACCCACUUUGUGGGAUUACCCUUCGUAUGUUGUUGCUUUUUCAACCUUUAAUUUGAAGUACGAAUCACAACGCAUUUUUACAUAGAUUAUAACAUUUUUCUUAAAUCAAUAACAUAAAGGAGUCGUGGAUUAUUGCCCCUUCAAUGAAAGAGAUCAUUCAGAUAAAACAGUGUGACAUCUAAGCAUGAAUUAAUUCACAAAAUUAUCUGAAGGCACGCAAUACAUUUAAGUACUCUAAGUAAGAGACAGCGCCUCAUGGAUGUACAUCAAACAGGACCCCAUUUAUUUUCGCAUAAUCCACAAUAUCACUUUUCAUCCCUAACGGAAAAUUCACUCACAUCCAC